rnacentral:rRNA from 1 species
UCAGAGCGAACGUAGCGGCGCGCCUAACACAUGCAAGUCGCACGAGAAAGGGCUUCGGCCCCAGUAAAGUGGCGCACGGGUGCGUAACACGUAGGCAAUCUUCCCUUGGGCGGGGGAUAACGUUUCGAAAGAGACGCUAAUACCGCAUGAGACCACGGAUGCUUCGGCAACUGCGGUCAAAGCUGGCCUCUUCAUGAAAGCUAGCACCCAAGGACGAGCCUGCGGCCCAUCAUUGCUAGUUGGUAGGGUAACGGCCUACCAAGGCUAAGACGGGUAGCUGGUCUGAGAGGAUGAUCAGCCACACUGGCACUGAAACACGGGCCAGACUCCUACGGGAGGCAGCAGUGGGGAAUAUUGGACAAUGGGCGCAAGCCUGAUCCAGCGACGCCGCGUGAGUGAUGAAGGCCUUCGGGUUGUAAAGCUCUGUUGAGGGAGAAGAAAACGGCUGGCGUGAAUAACUCCAGUCCUUGACGGUAUCCCUUUAGAAAGCACCGGCUAACUCUGUGCCAGCAGCCGCGGUAAGACAGAGGGUGCAAACGUUGCUCGGAAUUACUGGGCGUAAAGCGCGUGUAGGCGGGCCUUCAAGUCGGACGUGAAAGCCCUGGGCUCAACCCAGGAACUGCAUCCGAAACUGGAGGCCUGGAGUGGUGGAGAGGGAAGCAGAAUUCCUGGUGUAGAGGUGAAAUUCGUAGAUAUCAGGAGGAACACCGGUGGCGAAGGCGGCUUCCUGGACACUUACUGACGCUGAGACGCGAAAGCGUGGGGAGCAAACAGGAUUAGAUACCCUGGUAGUCC